rnacentral:rRNA from 1 species
GACGAACGCUGGCGGCGUGCUUAACACAUGCAAGUCGAACGGUAAGGCCCUUCGGGGUACACGAGUGGCGAACGGGUGAGUAACACGUGGGUGAUCUGCCCUGCACUCCGGGAUAAGCCUGGGAAACUGGGUCUAAUACCGGAUAGGACCACUGCCUGCAUGGGUGGUGGUGGAGAGCUUUUGCGGUGUGGGAUGGGCCCGCGGCCUAUCAGCUUGUUGGUGGGGUGAUGGCCUACCAAGGCGACGACGGGUAGCCGGCCUGAGAGGGUGACCGGCCACACUGGGACUGAGAUACGGCCCAGACUCCUACGGGAGGCAGCAGUGGGGAAUAUUGCACAAUGGGCGCAAGCCUGAUGCAGCGACGCCGCGUGAGGGAUGACGGCCUUCGGGUUGUAAACCUCUUUCAGCACCGACGAAGCGCAAGUGACGGUAGGUGCAGAAGAAGGACCGGCCAACUACGUGCCAGCCGCCGCGGUAA